UCCUGAUAAAGGAGUCUUUUGCUUGUCCUAAAAGCACAGGUGAAUAAGGGGUGGGCAAGUCUGGUGUCAGCCGCCGCGGUAAUACCAGCACCUCGAGUGGUCAGGACGUUUAUUGGGCCUAAAGCAUCCGUAGCCGGCGCUGCAAGUCUUCGGUUAAAUCCAUCUGCUUAACAGAUGGGCCGCUGGAGAUACUACAGCGCUAGGGAGUGGGAGAGGCAGACGGUAUUCAGUGGGUAGGGGUAAAAUCCUCUGAUCCAUUGAGGACCACCAGUGGCGAAGGCGGUCUGCCAGAACACGUUCGACGGUGAGGGAUGAAAGCUGGGGGAGCAAACCGGAUUAGAUACCCCCGUAGUCC
rnacentral:rRNA from 1 species